GCUGAUCUACAAGUAGAUAGAUCGGUUUUUGCGUUUUAAAAGCAUAUACAUCGACACACAUGUACAACCGAUGAUCGGCCCAAGCAACUUAAUCGGUAAUUGGCAACAGAAAGCAGUGGAAAUAAUAAACCAAAAUAGGGAAACACAAAUAUAAGCUAGGGGAUCGAUCGAUGAAUGAAUGGAUGUCUAAUGAAUAUACAGUCAAGCCACCAAACAAUUUCUAAAGGAAUUGGGAAUAGGGACGGGACUACGGAAUGUGGUGAAGGAUUCCCGUUUAAACCGAAAUCCAGUGUCAAACAAUAAGCCAAACGAAAUAUAAUUUUGGUUGUCCUUAGUGUAUUAUUUGUCCUGCUUUCUCGGCAAUGUCUGGUGUUCUCUUUAUAUAUAUACUCUGGAGUCGAUUUUGGGGGCACACUUAAAGUAUAUAUAUAAAUUCGAUAGUUGGAAGUUUUAAAAGGAAAAUCAAUGGAACGACAACACAUUACGAGAAGUAAAUCAGGAAUAUGAACGAAAAAUGAAAGGAGCAAGCGGAAAAGCAGCUUUAACUACGGCAACAACUGAAACAAGGAUAAAGAAGUACAUGUUCAGACUGACCGUCGCGCAAAUCUCCAGCCUCGAUUUCGGACACCUCGCUAGCCAGUGAGUCCAGUCCCUCGUUCUCCGAUCGCGCCUUGGCUCCCACACUGGGACUGGUGCCACUGCCCACCAUAUCCUGGUUAUUCGAAUUCUUCGUGCGCCACCCGUAGCGUGAGAAGUUAUUGAGAUUGGCGCUAGGAUCGCUUAGGCGUCGCUGAUGUCGAUAGGUGCAAUAGUCGUCGUUCUCCUCCUCCCACUCGUCCCACAUGUCAGUGGCGCAGAAUCCCGGCUCGCUGGUGGGUGUCUCCACACCGGAUCCUUUUGGCUUGGUCACCGCCAUCUCGGCGUGUCCCUUUCCCUGAGGUCCCUUCAUCCGGACAAACUCGCAACGCGUUUGGACACCAGCUCCACUGCUGAAAAGGCCAAAGGACAUGCGCUGCGCCACCUUGGAACUCAGACUGGAUUGCUAAGUUGCAAAAUGUACAAGUUAGAAUAGAAAAA